ACGGCUGUAUCACAUUGAAACACCGGUUCUCAUGGGAUCAUCAAAAUUAAGCAAUAUCGGUCCUGGUCAGUGCCUAGAUUGGUGACCGCUUGGGAAUAACAGGUGUCGUAAG